CACUUCCUUCUCUGCUCUGUACGAGGUGAUUUAAGAGCCCGAAACCAUUUACUGCGAAGGUGUGAGGACUGGCGAACACUUAAGGUGUACCUAUGCCAAUCAAAGAUGAAUGACAAGAAUACAGGACUUUGGCAGGUUGGUCUGCCCUGCCCUCUCACUAACCUCAAAUCAGCUGCAGAGGUGCAGGUUUGAGCAAGAAGUUGUGCAUGGACGCCGCAUGGACAUCUCAACAUAGCGUGAGUGGAUUCUUGAAGAGGAAGGCAUCCAUUGACGCCUCGUGUGACUGCUUCAACAGCAUGCUGAGACCUUCUCAUCAAAGGUCCCUACUGGAUUAUGGAAGUCGCUGCCUUUUCUCAGUUUGCCCAGAUGAGAGCUUUAGGCCAGCAUGCUUAAGGCCUUCACAAAGGUACCUAGCUUUCGAAGAUGCUACUAUCUUCUCCACAACGGGCUGCCUUUGGAUGGAACUAUCUAGAAACAAGGUGACCUAGGCUCUAACUUCAAUGUUGAACUGAGAACAUGGUCAUUGCACAAACAAAGCUCCAACAGUUGAGGUUUGGUGAUGCGGUUGGACUUGAGUGCCAGAACCAGACACCGGGGAGUGCUGCAGGUAAAUGAGCAAGUAAGGUUUCUGGGAUUGUGGACAUGAUGACGUAUCUCCUAGUCAAGGAUGAACAGGACUCCCUUACUCCUCAAGUUGGCCUCCCCUCCUUUCUCAGUAUGGCACUGAGAACCCUGCCCCCCCCUUCAGGUGUAAGGUGACCUGCUGAAGGAGAGGGAGCGCUGGCUGUGAGGGCAUGACUGAAAGACACCUCUGAUUCCAUCCCAGAAAUGUAAUUCUUUUACACAGCUUACAAUUUGUAAACUGUCAAAAGCAUGUAACUAAAAUGUGGGAUUAAGGCAUGAACCUUAUACACUUGUGGUAUUAAUGGACUUUCAGCGUACUAUACAUUAACUGACACUUGCUGCAGUAUUGGAAGCUAAGAAUUCAUGAUGCUGGAAGUGAAUAUUGUGUAACAUUUCAGCAUGUUAAUUUACAAGGAAAUCACAUUUUGCAAUUGUAACAGCUAAUUGCCAAGUGACAAAUGCAUAUAAAAAGCUUGGCUCAUAAACUUGACGCCUUUCAUUUUUCUGACAGGAUGAAGUCAUCACAUGGCCUUGAUCUUAUGCUCACUUAUGUGUUGAAUCCAUCUGGAUCUGCUGCAUUGGGAUGUACGAACUUGGGGGGCCUGAUCCAUCAGCAGUGUUCAACUGCCAACUGGAUUGCUGCAGUUCCUCUAGAGCUCAAGGGAUGCUCCAGAAAACCAUGUAACAUGAAUGUACCAACUGCUGCACUGUGAAUGUAUUGUAAUGAUUUAUCCUGAGGUCAUUAUUCCAUUUUGCCUGUAAACAUGAUCUCAUUUAACUACAAGGAUUGUUUCAAAUAAAGCACUAUUUAACA